rnacentral:rRNA from 1 species
UACGGAGGGUGCAAGCGUUAUCCGGAUUCACUGGGUUUAAAGGGAGCGUAGGUGGCUUUGUAAGUCAGUGGUGAAAUCUUAGAGCUUAACUCUAAAACUGCCAUUGAUACUGCUUAGCUUGAAUCACGUCGAGGUGGAUGGAAUAUUACAUGUAGCGGUGAAAUGCUUAGAUAUGUAAUAGAACACCGAUUGCGAAGGCAGUUCACUAGGCGUGUAUUGACACUGAGGCUCGAAAGCG